UCUGGGAAAUUUGAAUGUAAUGAACUUCAAUACACUGACUACUCUGAUUAUAAAUAUACAUCUUCUUGCCUACAGUUGCUGCCCACACAUCAGCUGCUCUUGAACAGGCCUCUGCCCAGAUCUCUGGCAACAUUCAAAGUCAAUUCGAACGGGAUCAUGCACUCCUGCGUGCUGUGGAGGAGUUGAAGGCCUUGGCAGCACACCUUAGUGCGCUUGGGGGCUGCAAUCCUGGUGACGCGGUUCGAAGAAUCCUUCGCCACAUCCUCUCCAACCACUUUGCGCUGAAAUUCA